rnacentral:sRNA from 1 species
GUUCCGGAGACUCAACAUGAAGCUGCUGGCCAGGGUUUUGUUUACUCUGGGGUCCCGGCUGCCCUGUGGCCUCGCUCCUCCGCGGUCUGAAAAAUGAGUAAAGAUGGAAGCCAAAGUAUCACUUUUAUUGUGGUUUGUGAGAGGAAGCUGGGCCCAUCAGCUGGAUCUCCCGAAGUAGGCAGACUUACAUAACUCUGAGGAGGGCAGAACAUUGCCCUCUGAAGGCAGCUGGAUCCCAAGAGGAAGAAGACCAAGGAGGACUGUUCAUACCCAACGAUCCUGUCAAAAUUUACCAGUCUGUGUUGCUAUAAAGGAAUACCUGAGGCUGGGAUGAGGAUGGUACUACGACAUUCAUGAUGGAUCUGCCCCCAUAACCCAGGCACCUCCCAUUAGACCCCACCUCCAACUCUGGGGAUCACAUUUCAACAUGAGGUUUCAAGGGACAGACAUCCAAACAUCCUUAGCAGGUUGACUAAGGGGACAGAAAGAAACCUGGAGUUGUACUACCUGAACUUCUCACAGUAGGG